CUCUUAAUUACACUUUGCCACCUAGCGGGCUGUUCUCUUACAGAUGAGUUACUCUCUCAACUUCGUCUUCUCAGCAUACAGACAGUGAGCUCCACAGCCAGGUGAGUUGUCUGAGCAAAGGGAAGAAACGAAGGAGUCAGAUGAGAGCAGAUGAUGGGAACCUGCUUCAAGGAUUGUGCUCCUUCCUGUGCCCCUUCCCUUGGAUUGAGCUGGACAGUGAGAGCUCCCUGCAUUUCCUCUGGCUACCAUUCACGCACUAUGGCAGAACAAGCA
rnacentral:lncRNA from 1 species